rnacentral:rRNA from 1 species
GGGCCCGCACAAGCGGUGGAGUAUGUGGUUUAAUUCGAUGCAACGCGAAGAACCUUACCAGGGUUUGACAUCCUGCGAAUCUCUUGGAAACGAGAGAGUGCCUUCGGGAACGCAGUGACAGGUGGUGCAUGGCUGUCGUCAGCUCGUGUCGUGAGAUGUUGGGUUAAGUCCCGCAACGAGCGCAACCCACGUCUUUAGUUGCCAGCAUUUAGUUGGGCACUCUAGAGAGACCGCCGGUGAUAAACCGGAGGAAGGUGUGGAUGACGUCAAGUCAUCAUGCCCCUUAUGCCCAGGGCUGCAAACACGCUACAAUGGCUGGUACAGAGGGCUGCGAACCCCGCGAGGGCAAGCGAA